AAUGUAUUGAUAAAGAAUAUAUAAAGGUCACCCAGGUAGAACAGGUAGCACCUGUACUUAAUUAUUAUUGCCUCGGGGUUUGAAGGUUCUGGUCUUUGGUCUUUGGUUUGUAGUAUCCAUCGUUUUCAUUGGUUUGGACAUUGUAAGGUUGUGUUUUAUUGGUUUACUUGUUUUCCCUCCAAAAGUUGUUAUUUGUGAUGGUCAUUCUUUGUCCAGUCUUUCAGUAGAGAGGGCCAUAUUUAUAGUUUUGAUAAUUCAGACUUUUGACAUUGACUAAGACGAUAUUUCUCUCUAUUAAGUUAUAUGAUAUGAUCUGGACCAUGUGAGCCAUACUGAGUCAGACACUCUAUUGAUUGGGAGAGGCUCAAUCCCAUAGAUUGGGCAUUUUCCUUAUUUCCUAUAUUCCUAUUAUUCCCUGUCAUCUGUAUGUGAAUAAAUGGAGAUGUUCGAACCUGAAACGGACUUAUUGUUAUAUUAUAACUAAGAAACCGUUACAAAAUGGCAUCCACGGUGGGAUCUCCUGAAUGAACUUUCCAACAGGUGACGCAUUCCUUGGAGUGUUCGACAGAAAGCAGACUUUUUCCCGUUAACCGGUGUUCCACUUGAAUAGACACAGCUGUGAACUGCGUGAAAAUUGGCCAAUUCCAAACACUGACCAGGACAGGUACCUGUAUCGCUAGUGAUCACUGUGACAAAUAGUGAAUUUCAUUUAUUGUGUAAUAUUAUUUUCUGUGAUUUUUGUGAUUGUAUAUAUUUUUCCGGAAUAUCAGCUGAUUGGUGAGUUUUGACAUUUUUUACUGUGCUUGCAAGCAGAUAAGAAAUACGUGUAAUUAUUACAAGAUCAUAUUAUUUGAAAACCAGCUGGCCAGUACUGUUUAUAUAGUGUUGAUCAACCAUUUGUCAAAGUGUAUAUAGGUUUAUUAUAGUUUAGAUAUUUUACUGGGUACCCGUAGAUAGGUUAUAUUAUUUAGUAUAAGAACUGAAGUAUCGGAGAGGAAGACGUAUGGGUAAGUGAGGUAUAGCACAUUGAACACCAUCCCAGUACCCAGGUACCCUUGAUUACUAAAUCAAAACUUACAGCAAUGUAGAAAAUAAUACCUAUCCCUUUUGACAAAGACAUCUAAAUUGACACUUUGACAGGUAAUUUAUUAUUAGUAGUUGGUCAAGUAGUUUAUUUAGUGUCCAAGUUUGGUAUUUUGAAGUGUAGUCUAAUUCAUUUUGAGUCUGUCGUCUGAUCUAGUGUGCAGUGGGUGUUGAUACAGUGAAAAGUUGUUUUAUAUUCAGUUGAUAUUUUUAAAAUAGUAGUGUAACGUUCUGUCUGUCAUUUUCUCCAAAUUUAUCUUGCAGUACCGAUUUAUUUAUCAUCGGGUUCGGUUUAUUUUCAAAAGCACCGCCUACUCUUCCGAUUGCGUAAUUUCGAUCGAGCUCGAUAUCCGCUAAAUCCGUUUUAACCGGAAACGACUUUAGAAAACGUGAUUUUGUAAACAAAAAGUUACAAUUUGAUUUAAUUUGUAUUAU